rnacentral:lncRNA from 10 species
AGAGCCCCGUGGCCAGCGGCCGGCCGCGGGGCCUUUUUGUCCUGAGGGCCAGAGAAAGGGAGAAGGGGGUGGGGGGACAGCCACGUGGCCGCAGGAGGAUUUACAACAUUUUCUUUCGCCAUCGAUGUUAUCGCAAAAUGUGUGAGAGAAGCGGCUGCGCAGCCCGGACGGGAGCGUGAGGGUGCGGGCCAGGUAAGCAGCCCCGGCGGUUUCGCCGCAUACGGGACUGCGGGGCGACCGCGGGCACCAGCCACGCGCAGCGGCUCCGCGGGGUCUCGGCCGGGUCCGCGCUCUGAAGGAUCUCGAGAGCCAUGGAUGGUGCAGGCGGGACCCUCGAGCUGCAGCAUCUCCGGUGACCCGGGGUUGCCGAGGAGGUGGAGACCAGCACAGGUGGUCCGGCCCGGGCGCCUCCGAAUCCGGGGGUGGUCAAGACGGAUCCCCAAGGCUGAGGUCGGCAGUCCCGGGGACUCGCAGCUGUUGAGCCUGUGGAGACGCGGCCCCGUGACCGAGGCACCCUUCAGCAACCCGGGGGCAGGUGAGACCGUGUAGACUUGCGCUUGCGGUUGAACCGCGAGCAGGUGUAGACGCGGGCGGGUUCUGGACGCGGAAAGUUUGCCAGAGCGCGCUGAGCGGGCUGGCGGGGAGGAAGGGUCUGGGCGUAGGCGGAGCCGCGCCUCCGAGGGGCCAGGCGCACAUCUGGGGCGGGGACGGGACCCACCUGUCGGGUCUCAGCCGCAUCCCAGGGCGGAAGCUCCUUGGGCGAACUCCAAACUCCAGCCUCAGCGGCUGGAAUUCGGGUGCCCCCCUUCCUCGGGAGCUGGAGAAACUGCAGCUGAGGCGGGAGAGGGAUUUGGGGCGACAGAGCGAGACCAAAGGGGGCUCAUUUUGAGACUUUUAGACGGGAUCAUCAAGCGCUCACUCUGUCCCUGGCUCCGGGGAAGCCUGGGGAGUCUCCACCUCACUUGUGAGGAAGCUGAGGGACGAAGAGGCCAAUUUGGCACCCGUCCCACGCUCGUAAUCAGACCCAGGGACUCAAACCCCAUUUGUCCUGGCUCCUCUUCUUCCACCUCCGCCUCAGUGAGGAGAAAGGGUGCUAGCCAUGGGGGUAGUGCAGGUGAGACCUGGGGCUGGGAUGCAGGGAAGCCCUGGAUUGAGACCUUCGGAUCUGCUGGGGGUGGAUCCCACUCCCUCUCUGUAGCUCCAGGUGGCCCCGCAGCACUGGGUGAGAGAAUGAACGCAGGAGGGAAGCUGGUGGCAGAGUACUGGGCAGGGGGUGCUAGUGCCCACCUGCUUUGUGUCCGGGGUGCUGUGCCUGGAGCGCUUCGGGUGGGGCAGCGUAUUUAUGCGACACUCUCUCCUCUAGGGUAAGAAAGACACCCUACCACAGUCUCUGCCACAGGGGAAGGGCAGAAGGGUUUCCCUUGGCUGGAGGAGAUACCCGCAUUUCUAGGGAGGUUCUUAGGGAGGCACAGCCUCAUCUCCCAUCACCUUCUGUCCCUUUGCCCCCGUUCCUACUCCCACAUCCUCCUGUCCUGGGAUUUCCCCUACUACAAAGCCUUUUGCACAUGUUGUUUAUUCUUUUGAUCAGCAAAUAGUUACAAAUAGGCAGUGUAGACCACCACAGGUGGUCCGGCACACCUACUAAGUGCCGGGCAUGCGCAAUUCAGCAGUGACUAAGACAGGCCCGGCCUCUGCCCUCAUAGGGCUUCCAGACCAGGGCAGGGAUAUAGAUGAACAACAGACAGUCAAGAAGGGGACCAGGGUAUGGGGAGGGGAGGCGACCUUAGGAGGAUAUCAGAGAGGGACUCUGCAAGGAUGACAGUGAGUCAGAGCAAUUAACACUCCUCAUCCUUUGGGCCCCAGCACAAAUGUCACCUCCUCCAGGAAGCCUGCCCUGACCUCCCUGACUUGAUGAUUCCACUAUGAUGGACUCUCAUAGCAUGGGACCACCCCCUCCAUGGACACUUUUAUGCCAUUAAUUGGUCAAUGUUUAGCUCCCCCUGUCGAUUGUAAGUGCCAUGAGGGCAGGACCCAAAUCUUUUCUGGGUGGAUGGUAGGCAAAGCAAAUAAAAGAUGGGUAGGAUUUCCCCAGAAAAACAGGAGUGGCUCAGCAAGGUCAGGCAUCCAGAUGGCAGAAACUUUUCUUUCCCCUUCCCUGGCCCGAGUCCUGGGCUCCACACCCCAUUUGCCGUUCACAGAAACAAAGUAAAAGAAACCAGCAGGCCUUGUGAAGGGAGAGGCCUGGCACAGCCUGACCACUGCAGUGCCAAGGCUGGCUGGCUGCAGGGAGAGUGGACCUGCCAGGGGAGGCCCAGGGCAGGCGCUAGUCCUGUUCCCUGAGCUCAGACCGACCUGUCUCCUCUUUCUUCUGUCCCAUCUCUUGGAGACUUGUCUUCUUCAAGUGCUGCUCUGGGAGAAGGUGGUGGCCGACAGGGCCCCCAGAGUAGCUGGGAUAUAGGACCACAGUGACUGCCUGGCCUCCCCCAUCCUGGUGGGCAGGGCCCUGGGCAGCACAGCUCUGACCCAGAGUCAGGUCUCUGGGCCAGCAAUUGCUGCUCAGUUGACCCACGGCACAUUGAAACUCUCACUUGGAAAUUAGGAACCCGGCUCAGGGGGACUGAUUUUUUUUUUUUUUUUUUUUUUUUUGCAUGGUUUCUAUACACAGUGAAUCCUCCCUCCCCUGGCUCCAUUGGACCCGUGUGCCUGGCACUUUUCCUGGGGCAGAUGAAGCCCUCGCAGAUGCCUAACAAAGCUUUUCUCCAGUCUCCCACACCCCCCACUGCCCCACUUCAGGAGCUCUGAGUGGCCGCCACGCACAGCUAGAGAGACAGUCAACUUGCUUUAUUCAGGCUCUGGCGGGGACAGAAUAAAAGCAGCCUCCCCACCCACCCACCUGGCCAGCAAGCCUCCUGCCUGGAAUGGCUUUAAAAAAAUUAAUUUGCAAUGAUUUGCUCCCUUCUGUUCUGUGGGGAUCACCAGCAUUUUAAAUAUGUAUUUAGAUCAGAUUCACAACUCCCAGUUAAACCUCAACUGCCUGCCCCCACCCGGCAGAAAGAACACAGGAUUCAGAAUCAGGUGACUAGAAGUUCAGGCCAAGUUCUGCUAAUGAUGCGCUGUGUGGCCUUGGGCAAAUUACUUAAGCUCUCUGUGCCUCCACUGGCUCCUCUGGAAACUGAGGUUAAGGAUAACCCCUCCCUCACAGAGUGCUGCGAGGAUUAAAUUAGGUAAGUUUAGGGAAGACCUGGGCAGUGCCAGACCUAUGUUUUCUUUUCCCUUGUACUGACUGUCCUGCUAAUUAGCCUGGUGACCCUGGGCAGGCCACUCAGCCACCCCUGGCCUCAAUGUCCUCAUCUGUAAAGGCUGGGGGUGGGGAUUGUGGUAGGAGAUGAGGGCACAAAUACCCCACCCUCAGCCCCUUCCGCACACCCACUUCCUCCUGCCCUCUCCCCACCAGAGACGAUACUGUCCCCCUCAACCACUUCUUUCUUGUUAUCUGAGCACUGGGUUUUAAUUGGCGAUGGCCCCUCCCCAGCUGCCUCUCCUCCCGGCUCCCUGUGAAGUCUCAGGCUUGCAGCCCUGAGGGGCCUGCAGUUCCUGGCUCAUUGUCAGGGGCAAUUAGCUGUGAUGUCACAAGCCUAGGUGGUGACUUCCGUGGGGCAGAUGCUUAGCCAGGCACCAGGAGGCCAGGACCCUGCUCCAUCUGUGACCUGCGGGGCUCCCCCAGGCUCCAGGGGUCCCCAUUACCAGUCGCAGGGAGGCAGGGCUCCUAGGCAAAGCCAUUUCCAUUUCUGCACUUGAUGGCUCCUUGAAGCCCAGCCUGCGUGUAAAUGAGUUCCACCCUGUGCUUUUGUUGGCAACUGUCGGCUCCCUGGAAGCAAGGGGCUUUGUCAGGAAGAACAAAGCUGUGCGGUGUUUUUCUGAUUUGGGGGAAAGCGUGCUCCUGGGGGAGGGCUCAGCGCUUCUCAGUGUCGGUCUCCAGCCCUGGUUCUCAGACUUGCUGGUUUUGUUUUGGGUUCUUAAGUCCUAUGGCUUAAGAGUCACAUAUGUUUGUGUGUGUGUUGGCUGAGGGUUUUUUUUUUUUUUUCCUCCUUUUUGGCUUACAUAGCGUUCCAGAGACUGAACUUCUCAAAUCACUGCUUCAACAGCUUUUAAAAAUCUGGACCUAGUUACUCCUGUCAUCUAUGUGUAAAGAUUUAGAAAAAAAAUCCCAAACCCAAGGGUGGGCAGCCGCGAGGAUGUACAGCUCCUGGCAGUGUGCGCUCACCCGGAGACCUGAGGUCAAAGCCCAAAUGCUGAGCACCUCCUGGGAGGCGGGAGCAUGGUCUGCUCAGUGCCAGACAUCUGGAUAUUGAGAAAACAUCUGGGUAGCUGGGGUUUUCAGGUUUCUGCCUGACAUUUAAUAUCACAAACAUUGAGCCUGCUCCUGUCCCCCACCAGCCACGCGGCUUCUCCUCCCAAACAUACCCAGCUCCUUCCCCUGCCUUCCUGACGGGUAAGAAACAUCCAUUCUUUCCAAUUCCCCAGCGUUUUCCCCCUACCGGAAAUCUGAUGGGCUUAUGACAUCAUGGCUGGCUGCUGAGCGAUGAAGUGGAUGCCACAAAGAAAUCCGACAUAUCAGAUAGAUUCUGAAAUCGGUUUCCCUCCAGCUGUAGUAACAGGCGUGAAGUCAGGAGAAUUUGAGCUUUGUUUAAAAAAUAAAUAAAUAAAUAAAUAAACCAUAACAAAGUCUUGCCCUGUAUUAAAUGCAAUUUUCUUAAAAACAAGCAAACCUUUUGGACAUCAUUUUAUUUUAAUAGAAAUGCUGAGUUUUAUGAAACUAAAGUGGCUAAUAAAUCAGACCUGA